UACGUAGGGUGCAAGCGUUGUCCGGAAUUAUUGGGCGUAAAGGGCUCGUAGGCGGUCCAUCGCGUCGGGAGUGAAAAGCUGGGGCUCAACCCCAGUCCUGCUUCCGAUACGGGUGGACUAGAGGUAGGCAGGGGAGAACGGAAUUCCUGGUGUAGCGGUGAAAUGCGCAGAUAUCAGGAGGAACACCUAUGGCGAAGGCAGCUCGCUGGGACGUUACUGACGCUGAGACGCGAAAGCGUGGGGAGCAAACAGG
rnacentral:rRNA from 1 species